CGUAUUGAAUUUUUUAACAUCAUAUUUAUUGGGAAAACAGUAUUUUUCAUUGCCAAGCUUUAAUUCAAGGCUAGUUUUUUUUCUUCUUCUUCAUUAAUGUUUUAGACUUCAUAGGGGAGUAUCUAAUGAAUUAAGAAUCUAAAUAACAUUUGGCACUUUUUUGUUCAUGUUACUUAAACUGUUUUUCCACUUUUACAUGUAUGUAUAUUUGUCAGGGUUUUUCACUGAAGUGGGAAUUGUCAGAAUUACAUUUAGGAAAUAUUCAAGGCAGUUAUGUUUCAGUUUGACUGAUUUGGCCUUAUAUGUGAAAUUCGUGACAAUUAUCAGUAGAGAAUGACAUUGUUAGCUUUUGUACAACACUGAGGUAUAUGGUAAAGCUCUGUAAAUGUUAAUGCAUACUAACUACCUAACAGAUACCUAUGUGUAUCUAUGCACCAUGUUUGUACAAUCUUUAAAUGAAGAGGACUUCUCCCAGUCAGAGCUGACCAUGGUAAGUGAAUGCUACCAGAGAGGUGUGAAUUGGUCUAGCUAACCAGUCUCUAUAAUGUGAUGGAAGAGGAAGUGGUGGUCUCCAUGAAGUAGAUGAGAAGGUGGUAUGGGGUGAAGGAAUGGAGUCCAUGAAGCAGACAAGGUAGUGGUGGUAGUGGUCUUCAUAAUAUGGAGAGAUACAUGGUCUCUUUGAAGUAGAGUUCAGGAGGGUUAGGUACAAGGAGGCAAUGGACUUCAUGAAGUAGAGGAGGUGGUGGUGGUAGUGUAGUAGGUCCAUGAGGUUGAGGUGAUGAUCUCCAUGAAGUAGAGGAGGUGGUGGUGGUGGUAGUGUAGUAGGUCCAUGAGGUUGAGGUGAUGAUCUCCAUGAAGUAAAAGAGGAAGUGGUCUUCCCUAAAGUGGACAAGGGUUAAUUUCCAGAGUUGAGGAGGAGAUAGGAUCUGAUCUUCAUCAGCUAGAAGGUGUUCUCCAAUUGAUGGAGGUGGAUGAGUGGGGUGGUCCCCAUUUGAUAAAGGAUGAGUGGGUGAUCCCCAUUUGAUAAAGGAUGAGUAGGGUGG
rnacentral:lncRNA from 1 species